UACGUAGGGUGCAAGCGUUGUCCGGAAUUAUUGGGCGUAAAGAGCUCGUAGGCGGUUCGUCGCGUCGGCUGUGAAAUCCCGAGGCUCAACCUCGGGUCUGCAGUCGAUACGGGCGGACUGGAGUUCGGCAGGGGAGACUGGAAUUCCUGGUGUAGCGGUGAAAUGCGCAGAUAUCUGGAGGAACACCGGUGGCGAAGGCGGCAUCCUGGACCGGUAUUGACGCUGAGGCGCGAAAGCUAGGGGAGCAAACGGG
rnacentral:rRNA from 1 species